UACGGAGGAUGCAAGCGUUAUCCGGAUUUAUUAGGUAUAAAGGGUGCGUAGGCGGAUUUGUUAGUCAGUGGUGAAAUACUACGGCUUAACCGUAGAACUGCCAUUGAUACUGCAAGUCUUGAGUACAAUUGAGGUAGGCGGAAUGUGUGGUGUAGCGGUGAAAUGCUUAGAUAUCACACAGAACACCGAUUGCGAAGGCAGCUUACUAAGUUGUAACUGACGCUGAUGCACGAAAGCAUGGGGAGCAAACAGG
rnacentral:rRNA from 1 species